rnacentral:ncRNA from 2 species
ACAAUUAAAAUUGAGUUAUAUUGUAUAUUCUCAUAUUAAGGAUGAGAAGUCUCUACCUGGUGCUCAUAUUACCUGACUACAAUAAUAGCUUUUAGCUAU